rnacentral:rRNA from 1 species
UACGGAGGGUGCAAACGUUGCUCGGAAUUAUUGGGCGUAAAGCGCACGUAGGCGGCCGAAAAAGUCGGGUGUGAAAGCCCUGGGCUCAACCCAGGAAGUGCACUCGAAACUGCUCGGCUUGAAUAUGGAAGAGGGUCGCGGAAUUCCCGGUGUAGAGGUGAAAUUCGUAGAUAUCGGGAGGAACACCAGUGGCGAAGGCGGCGACCUGGGCCAAUAUUGACGCUGAGGUGCGAAAGCGUGGGGAGCAAACAGG